AGAACGAACGCUGGCGGCAGGCUUAACACAUGCAAGUCGAACGGUUGUAGCAAUACAGCAGUGGCAGACGGGUGAAUAACACGUGGGAACCUUCCUCGUAGUACGGAACAACUCAGGGAAACUUGAGCUAAUACCGUAUACGUCCGAGAGGAGAAAGAUUUAUCGCUAUGAGACGGGCCCGCGUCCGAUUAGCUAGUUGGUGGGGUAACGGCCUACCAAGGCAACGAUCGGUAGCUGAUCUGAGAGGAUGAUCAGCCACACUGGGACUGAGACACGGCCCAGACUCCUACGGGAGGCAGCAGUGGGAAUCUUGGACAAUGGGCGCAAGCCUGAUCCAGCCAUGCCGCGUGAGUGAAGAAGGCCUUAGGUGUAAAGCUCUUUUACCAGGGACGAUAAUGACGGUACCUGGAGAAUAAGCCCGGCAAACUUCGUGCCAGCAGCCGC
rnacentral:rRNA from 1 species